rnacentral:rRNA from 1 species
ACGCUGGCGGCAGGCCUAACACAUGCAAGUCGAGCGCGCCUUCGGGCGAGCGGCGGACGGGUUAGUAACGCGUGGGAACGUGCCCAGAUCUACGGAAUAGCCACUGGAAACGGUGAGUAAUACCGUAUACGCCCUUAGGGGGAAAGAUUUAUCGGAUUUGGAUCGGCCCGCGUUAGAUUAGGUAGUUGGUGGGGUAACGGCCUACCAAGCCUACGAUCUAUAGCUGGUUUUAGAGGAUGAUCAGCAACACUGGGACUGAGACACGGCCCAGACUCCUACGGGAGGCAGCAGUGGGGAAUCUUGGACAAUGGGGGAAACCCUGAUCCAGCCAUGCCGCGUGAGUGAAGAAGGCCCUAGGGUCGUAAAACUCUUUCGCCUGUGAUGAUAAUGACAGUAGCAGGUAAAGAAACCCCGGCUAACUCCGUGCCAGCAGCCGCGGUAAUACGGAGGGGGUUAGCGUUGUUCGGAAUUACUGGGCGUAAAGCGCACGUAGGCGGAUUAGAAAGUUAGAGGUGAAAUCCCGGGGCUCAACCCCGGAACUGCCUUUAAAACUACUAGUCUAGAGUUCGAGAGAGGUGAGUGGAAUUCCGAGUGUAGAGGUGAAAUUCGUAGAUAUUCGGAGGAACACCAGUGGCGAAGGCGGCUCACUGGCUCGAUACUGACGCUGAGGUGCGAAAGUGUGGGGAGCAAACAGGAUUAGAUACCCUGGUAGUCCACACCGUAAACGAUGAAUGCCAGUCGUCGGGUAGUAUACUAUUCGGUGACACACCUAACGGAUUAAGCAUUCCGCCUGGGGAGUACGGU